UUGAUACAUGGUGGACGAGAGACAAAUAACGGAAAAGGAACGCUGGCGGAAAUGUAAACGCCUCAAAUAACAGCAAUAUUUAAGCCUCCACAUUCGUGCGAUUAACCUUUUCGGACCUAUUACGUAUUAGUCUGCAUGGAGUUACCAUGGAAGCAGCAAAUCAGACGCGACCUGAGGAGAAGGGAUGUUGUGCAGAUGGGGAACUACGGAAGCCUGGUGGAAUCAUAUGCUCUGUUACUAGAACAACAAGAAGACAGAAGUAAGCGGAAUAAAGAGACAGAGGAUCAUGUGAAUGAGCCCCUUACCCCUAACAUGUCCAGCAGCUACAUUAUGAUUCAGGCAACCCCAGACUGUGACCAGUGCCAUGAUUUGAAGAGCUUAAAAGAACAAAAUGACUUGUUACUGAAGCAGCUGAGUUGGAUGGAGAGGGAAAGGGAACACCUCCUUACCUCACUUAUAGAAGAAAAGCAGAAAGAGGCAGAAAGAGUGAAUCAGAAUAAUGACAUUGAGGAGAGAACACACAGUGAGCACAAAGUGAGCACAAAAUAUAACUCUUGCUCACGUGGCUGAGCCAGGAAGAAAUUACAAUGGACAUUGGCCAAGACAGUCAUUUAGGACUGUGGGCACCAUCCUUCAGUAAUGAUGACUUCUUUCUAGGAAAGUAGGUAUCGACAGCUGAGAGAAAAAUUGUAUAGAAAAAGAGAUCGCCCAUCGCAGAGCCGUCUAUUAUCUGUCAGCUCCCAUGCUAAUCUCAAUAAAAAUAGCCGGUUAAAUAAACUUACAUGAAAGUAACUUAUCAUUACUACAUUACUCAUCUCUCCACUAAUGAUGCACUGUACCACACAUCCCACCCCUUGCACAUUUUGUUGGCACUGUACAGUAUUAAUUACUCAAAAUUUAAGUGCAUAUCAGCAUCCCCCCCAACCAGGACACAUUCAGUUUCACAUCCACUACUGACCAGAAAACAAAGAAUUUAAAAGGACAAGUGGCAAAUUUAUCACCAUAUCCAAUUGUUCAUCUUGCCUUGAUGGUGCUGUAGUUUCAAGAGGAGCACUGCAUAGUGACCAGCAGUCACUGGCAAAUCGCUCCUUGCUUUACCAUACUGCAUUAUUUAAUGUAAUAUGUCAGUAUUAUUAAAAUAAAUGUUUUUCCCUACUGGUUAA